rnacentral:rRNA from 1 species
UGGGGAAUAUUGGACAAUGGGCGAAAGCCUGAUCCAGCCAUGCCGCGUGUGUGAAGAAGGUCUUCGGAUUGUAAAGCACUUUAAGUUGGGAGGAAGGGCAGUAACCUAAUACGUUUCUGUCUUGACGUUACCGACAGAAUAAGCACCGGCUAACUCUGUGCCAGCAGCCGCGGUAAUACAGAGGGUGCAAGCGUUAAUCGGAAUUACUGGGCGUAAAGCGCGCGUAGGUGGUUUGUUAAGUUGGAUGUGAAAUCCCCGGGCUCAACCUGGGAACUGCAUUCAAAACUGACAAGCUAGAGUAUGGUAGAGGGUGGUGGAAUUUCCUGUGUAGCGGUGAAAUGCGUAGAUAUAGGAAGGAACACCAGUGGCGAAGGCGACCACCUGGACUGAUACUGACACUGAGGUGCGAAAGCGUGGGGAGCAAACAGGAUUAGAUACCCACGUAGUCCCUGAGCGGGCUGGCAAGGCGCAU